rnacentral:pre_miRNA from 1 species
UGAAUCGAAAGCGAUGUUGGUGAGGUUCAAUCCGAAGACAGAUUUACAAACAUAUGGCUGCUGCAGGCCACGUAAAUUGAUCUCAGAUUGAGCCGCGCCAAUAUCACUUUCUUA